UACAGAGGUGGCAAGCGUUGUUCGGAAUUACUGGGCGUAAAGGGCGCGUAGGCGGCCCGUCAAGUCCCGUGUGAAAGCCCCCGGCUCAACCGGGGAACGGCGCGGGAAACUAGCAGGCUUGAGUUCGGGAGAGGGAAGCGGAAUUCCGGGUGUAGCGGUGAAAUGCGUAGAUAUCCGGAGGAACACCGGUGGCGAAGGCGGCUUCCUGGACCGGUAUUGACGCUGAGGCGCGAAAGCCAGGGGAGCAAACGGG
rnacentral:rRNA from 1 species